rnacentral:rRNA from 1 species
GACGAACGCUGGCGGCGUGCCUAAUACAUGCAAGUUGAGCGCUGAAGGUUGGUACUUGUACCGACUGGAUGAGCAGCGAACGGGUGAGUAACGCGUGGGGAAUCUGCCUUUGAGCGGGGGACAACAUUUGGAAACGAAUGCUAAUACCGCAUAAAAACUUUAAACACAAGUUUUAAGUUUGAAAGAUGCAAAUGCAUCACUCAAAGAUGAUCCCGCGUUGUAUUAGCUAGUUGGUGAGGUAAAGGCUCACCAAGGCGAUGAUACAUAGCCGACCUGAGAGGGUGAUCGGCCACAUUGGGACUGAGACACGGCCCAAACUCCUACGGGAGGCAGCAGUAGGGAAUCUUCGGCAAUGGACGAAAGUCUGACCGAGCAACGCCGCGUGAGUGAAGAAGGUUUUCGGAUCGUAAAACUCUGUUGGUAGAGAAGAACGUUGGUGAGAGUGGAAAGCUCAUCAAGUGACGGUAACUACCCAGAAAGGGACGGCUAACUACGUG